rnacentral:rRNA from 1 species
GACGAACGCUGGCGGCGUGCUUAACACAUGCAAGUCGAACGGUGAAGCUCCAGCUUGCUGGAGUGGAUCAGUGGCGAACGGGUGAGUAACACGUGAGCAACCUGCCCCAGACUCUGGAAUAAGCGCUGGAAACGGCGUCUAAUACUGGAUACGAGAUCAAGCCGCAUGGUUAUGGUCUGGAAAGUUUUUCGGUUUGGGAUGGGCUCGCGGCCUAUCAGCUUGUUGGUGAGGUAAUGGCUCACCAAGGCGACGACGGGUAGCCGGCCUGAGAGGGCGACCGGCCACACUGGGACCGAGACACGGCCCAGACUCCUACGGGAGGCAGCAGUGGGGAAUAUUGCACAAUGGGCGAAAGCCUGAUGCAGCGACGCCGCGUGAGGGAUGACGGCCUUCGGGUUGUAAACCUCUUUCAGCAGGGAAGAAGCGAAAGUGACGGUACCUGCAGAAGAAGCACCGGCUAACUACGUG